CUACGGGGGGCAGCAGUGGGGAAUAUUGGACAAUGGGGGAAACCCUGAUCCAGCGAUGCCGCGUGUGUGAAGAAGGCCUUCGGGUUGUAAAGCACUUUUAUUGAGGAGGAAAUGGCGCUAUUGAAUAGGUAGCGCAGCUGACGUUACUCAAUGAAUAAGCACCGGCUAACCCUGUGCCAGCAGCCGCGGUAAUACAGGGGGUGCAAGCGUUAAUCGGAUUGACUGGGCGUAAAGGGUGCGUAGGCGGUGACUUAAGUUAGGUGUGAAAUACCCGGGCUCAACCUGGGGGUGUCAUCUAAAACUGGGGCGCUAGAGUUUACUAGAGGGUAGUGGAAUUUCCAGUGUAGCGGUGAAAUGCGUAGAUAUUGGAAGGAACAUCAAUGGCGAAGGCAGCUAUCUGGAGUUAAACUGACGCUGAGGCACGAAAGCGUGGGGAGCAAACAGGAUUAGAUACCCGCGUAGUC
rnacentral:rRNA from 1 species